CGCGCGCGGCUCGGGGCUGGGGCGCCAGAAGUGGGACUGGAGCGAAGUAGAGCGAUGCCAAGGAGGAAACAGCAGGCACCCAAGCGGGCGGCAGGAUGCAGAAGCUCUGCGUGUAGACACGUGGAAAGGAAGAUGUAUUUUAAAUGAAAAAGAAUACAAAGACUAGCAUAAUCCCAAUUCAGGGGGAAAAACUCAGUCUGUGUGUCUGCAUGGAGGUGGAGUGAAGAUUAAAAAACUGAGACCUGAGGAAGACUCUGUUUUUGCAGCAACUGAUACCAGUGAGAACCUUGAUACACAUUUUAAUCGUUUCUGGGAAUAUUAAAUUGCUUAAUCUCAAACAUCUGUGUUUUGCUUGAAACUAAAGAUAAAAAUCACUACGUUAUAUUUCUUUAAUUGUGAAACGAAGCAAGUUUUCUAAAGUAAUCCUUCAUUCUCUGUGAACAGAGUAAGUGCCCCAUCAUUUCCUCCUCCAAACAGAAAUACUCCUUUCUCAUAGGGCAUUAACAUUUCAACUUGGAAAUAAAACAUCUCUUCUCUCAUAUCUGCUCUGUAGUGUAGCCACGGUGGGUUGUCUUUUUACACAUUAAAUUUCUGAGUGCAGAAAUGACACUGAGUGUGACUUGGGGGGAGGGGGUGAGCUUUGAGUGAGGUUUCUAAUAAGGACAGAUUUGCUGUAAAAUCUUCCACGGUCCUCAUGAAACUGAUAGCUCUCGCUUAAUAAGACACUAGCUCUGACUGUCACCAUGGCUCCAGGACAGAAGGAUAUUGCUGACCCAAGGGCCAAGCCCUUGACAUUGGCUGUCUUAAGCUACCCCCGCCCAGCUCUGAAGUAUAAGACCCGGCGUUCUUAGAACCACACAACCUUUAGGAAUGCAUACUGGCCUGCUGACUUUACUUUUUGAAAAUUAAUUCCCAUACUUGUCAGACUGGGGUAGGUUUUGCCACAGUAAAGGACAACCCCCAAAUUUCAAUACCUUAAAACAACAAGGGUAAAUUUCUCAUGCUACUUACGCUGUGGAUCAGUUGAGGAAUCAGCUCUGUCCUCACCUGGGACUCAAACUGACCAGAGCAGCCACUGUCUGGAAAAGACAUCACCUGCCCUUGUGACGAAGAAAAGAGAGCGUAGUGAAUCACACCCUGACUCUCGAGGUGGCACACGCCACUUCUGAUCACGUUUCUUGUGGCCUUGGCUAGCUCCAACAGGGUGGGGAAGUACAAACAUCAAAAGGAGAAGAGACACGGAAUAUUUGUGAAUGGUUCUAAUGAUUUCCAGUCACCAAGGUGUAAAAAUCGUGUACAAAUCUGAAUUCCUGGAUUCUUUUGAGAAACUGCAGGAUCUUGCGGUAUUGGAGGUGCACAGUCGAAUGGCAGUAGUUGGGGGGAAUGGGAGACACUUAUUAGCAGCUACUCUAUUUUGACGGGGCAUUUGUUUACCAGCUGACAGACCCUACCUCACCUGUUUCACUCACCUAAGGAGUCAGCUCGAUUCCUGUAGGAAUUUGAGUUGGCAACUCUUGAACUAAAGUCCAGCCUAGUGGAAACAGUUCAGCGGUGGAGUUAGACAACCUGGCUUCCGAUCUGCGAGAAGCCCCUCUAUGGCUGUGCAAGCAGGGCUGAGUGAUUUGACUCUCUGUGCCUCAGGUCACAUGGGAAUGAGUAGGAAUGGUAAAUGGGAAUAAGAGUAACAACCUCAGAGGGCUGUGAUGAGGCGUGAAUGUGAAAAUCCACGUAAUUUAGUGCCUAGGGCAGAAAUAACACAACUGCUGUAUCAUCAUCGUCACCACCAUCAUCAUCGUCGUCAUCUUUCCAAAGUGCAACCCUGCCUUCACCUUUAACUUCCACAAAAAUAGGGUCACAAGGUAAAUGCUGUUGGUGGACAAAUAUUGACCAGCCCUCCUCCUUUCUCUGUAUCUGUUUCCUAUCUUACAAAUCAAAAGAGUCGGACCAGAAGCUUUCUGAGGUCCCUUCCAAAUCUGACAUUCUGUGAUUCCAAGACACAAGGAGGGCCCCCAGAUUCCUUCCCGAGCUUUCAAAGCAUUCCCAGUGUAAGCUUUAGUGUGGGUCUGGAGAGUGUAUCUGUCAAGGGGGCUGCAGGCAGGGGGGAGACAUGAAGCCAAACUAUGAGGCAAGCAUGGGAACAGCCUUAACCACAAACUCUGGCCUUGAACCCAUCCAGGGAACACUGACAUGAGCCAACUGUGCAUUAUCUGUUGAUGAACCUUCCCAGGAAAUGCUGUUCGGGAACCUUCCACAGCCUUGUGACCUCAGCCACCAACUUCAGUCACCAUCUGGACUGGUCUUUUCUUUCAUGGCACUUGGUGGGCAGCAAAAGGACCCCCAGGGCUUUAUUUCUGUGCAGCAGGCUGCCUCGCCUUUGAACAAUGCGGUGUGAUGACGGAGGUAUUAUCACCCUGAGCUAAAAUAUGCCAAUAACGAGACCAGGAAAACAGUGGCUACACGUUUGUGAGGCAAGUGCAGAGGAAGCAAACUCUGCUAAUUAUCCAGGAAAUCUUCUUAAAUCCAUUUAGAUUUCUGCAAAUGAAUCAGUACUUGAUUCAAAAAAUCUGGGAGCUCAGCUCAAGCAAUCAAGUAGGUAUUGCUAGGAAGUCAAGCUCUGGAUACAGACAGCCUCUGCCCCUGGGACCUGAAGUAACUUCCGUGUCCUUUUAGAACUUCGGCUCCUUCGUCUGCAAAGAGAGCGUGGGAAUACUGACCUCGUGCAGUGGGGAGGUUGACUAACAGAACGUACCUUCUGUAUUUAAUGGAGGGUCUGGCAUCUGAGCCCUUGAUACAUGUCAAGAACAGGGUAGCUCAGUUGUGGCUCUCCUGUAAGUCAUCUCCGUAGAGCCACACUGAGGAGAGGACGAUCUCAAGACUAAGUGUGUAUGAAAGAAGAUGCUGGAAGGGGGCUGUGGCAUAUAGGACACCGCAUGCCCCACAUAAAGACCCAUGUGGGCAUAAGAAAGGAUCAACCCGUUGUUCCAAGAACUGCUUAUUCUGCAGGAAGUAUGUUAAAAGUCUAAAGUUACAUGUGAAAUCUCCUGAUUUUUUAAUGGACUAGUUUAUUAAACUGGGUGCCUGUUUGGCUCCAGUAAAAAUAGACUCCCUCCAACGCUUCAUACCCUCCAAAAUAACAGUGGUUUUAUUAAGGUAGACCUUUGUCUCAUAGAAAAGUGCAGGCAGGUGGUUGAGAGCUAACAGGGCACUUCUUGUGGACAGGGACCCAGACACCUUCUAUCUUGUUGCUCUGCCACCUUCACAUGAAGCUUCCUUCUUGUGGUCCAAGAUGGCUGCGCUGGCUGCUACCAUCACAUGCAAAUUCCAGGCAGCAGGGGAAGGGAAAGCGGAGGGAUGUCCCUCUCUUUAAAGGUAUAACCUGGAAAUUACACAUAUCACUUCCAUGGCUAGUACCUUGUCACAGGGCCACAUCUAUCUGAAAGAAAGGCUAGGAAGUGUAGUCUUUAUUCUGGGUGGUCAGAUACUCAACCAAGAAUCAGGGGAUCUACGACUAAAAGAAACAAGAAACAAAGCCACAGGUAAUUUGGAUUUUUUUUUAAACAUGAGGUCAACCAAGCAAAACACAACAAUGGGCCAUUUUGGAACACAGGAAGAGCCAUUCUAUAUUGAGGAUGUUAUAAGAGCGUUUCACUUUAAUAAAUAGUUCUUUAUAUUAAGAUGAUUGUCGGCAUCAACGUCAACAUAGUUUCCCUGCAUUGAGUGCCUACUACGAGCUAGACGCAGUGUUAGGUGCUGAACACAUAUGAGUUCUCUGACCCUCAAAACAACCCUACAAAGUGGACGUUGUCAUCACCCUUCAUCAAACGCAGGAACAGAGGUCAGCAACGUGAAGUGACGUGACCAGGUACACUCAGUUUGCAAGUGGCAGAGCAGGGCUUUCAUCUCAGGCCCAUCUGACACCAGAAUCUUUGCUUGCUCUGUGCCAAGUACAGCUGUCACUUACUUUCCUCCCACCUCCCGGCUCUGCGUUGUUCUCCGUCUUGUUCAAGGAGGGACCUUGUCACAGCAAUGUCACAGUCUGGAACCCAAGUUACAGGAGGUCACAGACAGCCCACAGGAACCACACAUUCAGACUUUCGGCCCUUCCCACCGUUCUUUGAUCUUUGUUUUCACAAGUUACAAAUUCCUCCACCUACUUAUAUUUUAAAAAGAGGAGAGAGAAAGAGUGAAAUAAUGACUCUUAGCUGAACUGCUUUUCUUCAAAAUCACGAAUAAUUGUUUUCCUGGGGUGCCUGAGAAGGCAUUCCCCUCUCAUCUUUUGCCCGGGACUUGGCAAUCAACUUCAGAUUGCCCCUUGCUUGCUUUUUUUCAGCGUACGCGUUCCGUGCAAUCCAUCACCAUAGCCAUUAUCCUGCUUGUGAUCAAGGGCAGGAUGGAAAAACUCCCUCUCCCUUCAACACCUACCACCAGCUCUUUGAUUUGCCAGGCGUGGGCAGAAGGGAAGUUUCCGGUGAAUGACCUCAGACCCGCUCCAUACGGAGCCCCACGCAGCACCUCAUCAUCAUCAGUCUGGGAAGAGAAAACCCAAGUCAGGCUUUUUGUAAACAGUCAGCAAAUGGCUUCUAGUUCAUUUAUUUCCCUUGUUGCAAAAAGGCGUUUCUUCGUCCCCCUUUUGUACGUACUCUGUGUGAGGGGGUGUCGCGGAGCUGCUCACCGCGUGCACUUCUAAGCACCUGCCGAGCUUGAAGUCUUCGGGUGCAGCCCAGCCCUGCAUUAUCAGGUGGUUAAAUAAGGUGAACUCUGCACCUUUUUUCAUCAAAAUAAGUAGGUCAGCGAUUCAUUCAGCUGGCCGGGAAACUAGGGCAGGGUUUCUCUCAUCCUCCCCAUAGGUGGACGACAUAAGGGGCCAGAUCAUUCUCUGCUGUGGUGGGCCGUCCUGUGCACUGUAGGGUGUUCAGCAGCAUCCCUGGCCCCCACCCACUAGACGCCAGCAGCAACCCCCUCCCCAGUUGUGACAACCAAAAAUGUCUCCGGAUAUUGUCCUGUGGCCCCCGGGGUCAAAAUCACUCCAGGUGGAUAAACACUGCCUUAGGGACAUUAAUACAAGUUUAUGGAGUGGUUAGAACUGUCGGCACUGUUUGUUGGCCCUGGGGAUGCCUCCUGGUCCUGUGACUUGGAAAGUGUCUGUCAUCACUCAUCCGAGCUCAGUUUCCAUGUCUGUAAAAUGGACAGAAUAACUGGAUCUUCUUCAUGAGGCUAUUGGUGGUCUCCACUGACAUAACAGUUGUAAAAUGCUUAGCACAAACCCCUGGUAAAUGAGAAAAAAAAAGCCAGCAUUUAUGAACAUUGGCUAUUGGUAACAAGCUGAGACAGUAGCUGUGAGGAUGGGAGAGUUUGGGCCCUUGCCCCCUUCAGCCUGAACUCUCAGCAUUCCCUGACUCAGAUUUUGUGCUCUGUUUAUGUCACACUCUUUCUAGUUCCCAUCAUGCAGCAUGUUCUCUACUCAAGCCCCCAUUUUCUGGCUCAGGUGCUUCCUCCAGUUCCUCCCUCCUUCUCUUCAUGGUUAACACCUGCCUACUCACCCUGAAAGCUCAGCUUAGAGGUCACCUCUUCCAGGAAGCCAUUCAUGCUUUCCUCCUCCCUCACCCCAAGCUGGGGUAUGUCCCAUCCUCAGGGACCGAGGAAGUCCCAGUUUAGCUCUAUUUGCAUUUCUCAGUCAUUUUAAAUAUUUUGCGGUCUUCUCCAUUAGGUAGUGCCCUCCAUAAAGGCAGGGACUGUAUCUUAAUGCACCUGUGAAUACCUGGGCCCCCGCUUGAGACCAUAUGUUGACACUGUUAGAACAUCUAUCAGAGUGCACAAGGAGGGAAGAGGGACUGAGUGAGGGAAGCGCACAGCACAGUGCUUUGCAGAAGAAAAAAACAAGUAGAAGAAGUAUUUGGAUCCAUGAGUAGCUACUUUGGGGGGUAUAUUUUUGGUAUACUUUCUUGCUCGUCCUGUAGUUGUCUUCACUGUCACCAUCACUAACCAAUGAGCAGACCUAAGUCUGCAAAGAAUGAUGCCUUUCUUUCUCAAGGGCGGUCUCCAUGUCUUACUUCACAAAUAAAGCAUCUGAUACAUUGGAUAAAAAAUUUGACCGGUAGUUUACCCCUUUUUACCAACUUUUCUCUUGAGUGUGUUCAUUCACUCAACAAAUAUUUACUGAGGGGCUUCCCUGGUGGCGCAGUGGUUG